CCCUUAGAUGUCCUGGGCCGCACGCGCGCUACACUGAUGCAUGCAACGAGUUUAUAACCUUGGCCUGAAAGGUCUGGGUAAUCUUUUGAACGUGCAUCGUGAUAGGGAUAGAUUAUUGCAAUUAUUAAUCAUGAACGAGGAAUUCCUAGUAAACGCAUUUCAUCAAAAUGCAUUGAUUACGUCCCUGCCCUUUGUACACACCGCCCGUCGCACCUACCGAUUGAGUGGUCCGGUGAAGUCUCGAGAUUGUGGCAAUCUCCUUUAUUGGAGUUUGACUGCGAGAACUUGCCUAAACCUUAUCACUUAGAGGAAGGUGAAGUCGUAACA
rnacentral:rRNA from 1 species